UACACUCCUGCGGGAGGCAGCAGUGGGGAAUAUUGGACAAUGGGCGCAAGCCUGAUCCAGCCAUGCCGCGUGAGUGAUGAAGGCCCUAGGGUUGUAAAGCUCUUUCACCGGUGAAGAUAAUGACGGUAACCGGAGAAGAAGCCCCGGCUAACUUCGUGCCAGCAGCCGCGGUAAUACGAAGGGGGCUAGCGUUGUUCGGAUUUACUGGGCGUAAAGCGCACGUAGGCGGACUAUUAAGUCAGGGGUGAAAUCCCGGGGCUCAACCCCGGAACUGCCUUUGAUACUGGUAGUCUUGAGUUCGAGAGAGGUGAGUGGAAUUCCGAGUGUAGAGGUGAAAUUCGUAGAUAGUCGGAGGAACACCAGUGGCGAAGGCGGCUCACUGGCUCGAUACUGACGCUGAGGUGCGAAAGCGUGGGGAGCAAACAGGAUUAGAAACCCGGGUAGUCCCAUG
rnacentral:rRNA from 1 species